rnacentral:lncRNA from 12 species
AUCACUGUAAAUAGUUACCUCAGGUUUAUUUUCUCCCCAGAUCUGCUGGUUGCUAGAAGAGGCGAGGCUUUAUGGGCAGGAGAACAGACACUGUGUCGCCAUCACCCUGAGGUUCCUGGUGUCCUUUCCAGUGGAGGAGUUGCUAAUGUCUGGUGCUGUGGCCAAGAAAAGAAGGAACAAGCCUGAAAAACCCCACAUCCUCUUGUAGGACCAGAUCCUUCCUUUGGAUGUGGUUCCAACUGAGUGCACCAGAUAUUGGAGCUAAGCACAGAGCUUGACCCGCUGAUUUUGCAAGCCCCAGCCUAAGGUUCAUGUGAGUUUUUAUCCAGUCAAGCAAACAACUGUUUCUCCUGUGAGAUAAAUGCCCUCCUCUGAGAUGAUCCCAGGCGAUGUUUGGCUGCUCGAUUUUCUCCGGCUUCUCACGAUCCCCU